CGCUGUCCAAGCCGCUCUUGGCGUCAUCGGGGAUCCCGGUCGUGCAUUGAAUCCAUCGCAAAGGAUCUCGAGGCCUGCCACCCCGCCCGGCGCACCCAUCUAGAGGCACAUGCUCUCCACGGAUCCAUUGGAUCCCUUGCCGCCUCUCCUCCUCUGUGCUUCGCUGGAGAAGCCUUGGCCUUGCCCUGGAUGCUAGAUUCUGCGAUUCCUCACCUGCAAUAUGGAUUAUGGAAGUGCAUCUGCACCUGGGGCGCUAGCUGCUGAUGGCCAGAGAUAACCGCGAUGUGUACAGGUGAGAGAAUUUUCCUCACUAGGUAGCAAUCUACUUUGAUUCUUUACCAUCAAGCAUCUCUUCAUAAUCAAUUAUGCUCAGUUUUUGACAGUCACACGACAACCCCUAGCAAGCCUUUCGUGGAAACAUCGAGUAUUGUUUAAGAUUUGUUGUCCACGGGAAACUAAUUAAUGUAUUUGGUGGAUGUACAGGGCUACGUAGUGGUUGCAGUCUUGUAUUAACAAGUGAACAAUUUAGUGUUCAUUGGCAACAAAAAGAAGUGAAUAAUACCAUGCUAUAUUUAGUGUUGCUUCCUGGUCCUUGGUAGAUGAUGCAUUCUUCUUCUGCAUUGAAAUUUGGAAAUUGAAUCUGCAUAGUAUUUGUCCGUAUUUCUCCAAGAUCUGAGCAUACCAUCUUAGGAACUUCUGAAACUUCCUGGUGGGACAUAAGUUCAGGAGUGUAAUUUAUCUCAAGUGCGUACUGAACCUUAAUAACAAGGGGAUUCUGUUAUUUCUUUCUCAAUUUACUUGCAUCUUCAGAAAUCUGGUGUAUAGAGCAGCAUUGUUCAGUCUUCAUGGUUAUAUUAUUCUGAAGUUUCAAGGAACAAAAAUGAUGUAUAUUUGAAGACGUACGGGUUGGGAACAGAAAUAAUGUGAUUUCGUGGAACAACAUUAAAUAGGCAGGAGGACAAUGGAUAUUUUUGGGUCAGUAUUUUCCAAUUAGAUACAUAUUUCAACUUGCAAUUAGGAGGUUCUGAACCUCUCUUUUCUUGAUGGAGAGCAUGCAAUGAAAAAACCACCACCACUGGUUUGUCACAGCCAGAGGUAAGUGCAUGGUUGUUCGGGUGAUAGCCUUAUAACUGUCACAGUUAAUUGAUGGUCUACAUCCAUGGUAUGGCUGCGUAACGUUUAUGAUUUGUCUCAUAUUAGUCAUUCACCAUGUUCCUCUUACCAUCGCCUUGACUGGAACGAAGGUGCUUACCAUGGUUGAACAUUUAUUUAGCAAUCUAUUGCCGCUCGAUAUUGGCAUGUUCCUUCCGCCACGGAGCAUGAUUUGCAAAGAAUGGUGGAGUUGCUUGGUUGUUUCUAUGAAUUGGUGGAGGAUGUAGAGGCUCAUAUUCAUUCCGUGUCCAGGUCCGUACCUUGCAUCAAAUUCCAGCCCUUACGGCCACUCGGAGCGCUUUUCACUGUACAAACAGCAUGCAGAGAAGCUAAUGGAGUCUUGUUCAGGUUAUCACCGCUUUUGCUCCAGCAAGGUAUCCUUCUCCCUCUUUAUUGACCUUUACGUUUGCCUGAUUAGUGAAACAUGAGUCACGUGAUUCCAGUUACGCAUGUAUAACAUAGGCUUUUUUGUUGGCUCGUAUUAACAUGGGAACUGAGUAAAUUUCUCCAAAUGUAUUGGUUCGUAUUAACCUGGGAACUGAGUAAAUUUCUCCAAAUGUAUUCUUUUGGUUGCUUUGGGUAAAAUGCUUGGUAUUUUGUAUUUUGUGUUCAUAUUAACACUUCUGCAAGUCAUCACAUGCCUUUAAUAUUUUAGAAAGUACGACGAGUCUUGCGAAGGGUCCUCGAGGAAGCUCAAUAUAUAGAUGACUAUUCUCAGUGGAGAUGAUACCAGAGAUGUUAUUCUGAAGUAAGCUCCUGCACACCAUUCUUUUCUAGUUCCUUUAGAAGAAAUGAUUCCAUUCUUGUACUCGAUACUGUAGAGUGGUUGCUGCUCAUUCGUCUUAAUUUAAUAUAAUACCAGCGUGUGAUCCUUGGACAAAAAUAAGGAAGGUGAGCUCCUAAAAAAAGAAGGAGAGAAUAACCUUUCAAAGAUAUUACGUGGGCUGAAAUAAGGAAGGAGAGUUCCUUUAAAAAAAUGAGAUAAUAAUAUGUUGCGAAGGAAUUAUAAUACAAGGGCAUGAUGAAUAUACAUAAAUAAGGAAGGAGAGUUUGACAAGAAAGAAAUGCCUUUAAGAUUUGAAAAUUAGGGGGUCCUUUAGGGUCAGAAUUAUCGUACAAAAAUUGUAUCAAAAGUAUUGUAUGUGUAACUAACUAGGCGAAGGAAUUAUAAUUCGUUAUUUCUAAUGUACUAGAGAUGGUCUAACAGAACCCUUUUAGCGAGAUUUUUUCCAUGACAACUUACAAACAAUGCCUUUAAGAUUUGAAAAUUAGGGGGCUUUUUAAGAUCAGAAUCAUACGUACAAAAAUCUUAUCAAAAGCAUUGUACCUGUAGCAUGCUUCUUAAUGUAGAACUGGGAAAAGAUUUCCUCGCUUGCAAGCGUUGCAACGCUCUACAAUGCCUUUAAGAUUUGAAAAUUAGGGGGCCUUUUAAGAUCAGAAUCGUACGUACAAAAAUCUUAUCAAAAGCAUUGUACCUGUAGCAUGCUUCUUAAUGUAGAAUUGGGAAAAGAUUUCCUCGCUUGCAAGUGUUGCAACGCUCUGUAGCGUAUCUGGGGACGAAGCCACGUAAAUCUUUCCUCACCCUAAUUAAUUUCUUUCCCCUGAUGAAUUCAAGGGUGGACCCACACUAACUAAUCACCCCUCUAAUUCAACUGUGGGGCCCACACUAACUAAUUUCACCCACCUGAAUUCGCGUGAAUUAGGCUCGCCCGUUGCGCGCCUUCCUGCCGUUGCCGGGUGGCAUCAUUCGGAUGUUGUUGGGCCUUUCUAUGGAUACACCAUUAUAUUUCCCGUUGCAACGCACGGGCAUAUGUGCUAGUCUCUCCCUAAUAAUAAAGCACGGAUUGAGUCUCCGGGUUCACCGUCAGAAUACGCUUUCUUGCUGUGAAUUUACGCUUUUAGGUCUUUUGUUUGGAACAGAAAAAGGAAAAAAUGCAGAAAACUGCGUACGACAGGAUUUGAACCAGGGUUGCUUGGAGAUAGCCUAGCGCCCAUAGCCAAUUCAGCUAGCUUGCUUGUCACGUUAAUUAACUGAAACUUAGUUUAAUCUCUCCAACACAUGGGCCGAGCUGGUCCACUCCAAGGACGCAGCCAACCAAACAGGCCUAUUUGUUGCCAGCUAAUUAGUCCCACCUCGCCUUUUUCAAUUUAAUUCCACCGAUUUAUAUAGGACUAUUAGUUGUAUGACAAUCAACAAGGAGCCUCGAGGAUUAACUAGCGAAGGAUGAGAUGUGGGUUGGCGUUGUGGCUGCACGAUACACGAAAAUAGAGGGGCAUGAGAAAAAUAAAAGAAGAAAGGAGUUGAUGCGGCUAAUUGCACGAGAAGGAAGGGGUUUCUUGAAUUAAGAAGAAUGAGAAAGGAAAUAUAUAUAUGCUAAUUGCAUAUAAAAGAAGGAAGGAGUUUCUCCUGAGAAAGAGAAUUAAUAAUAGACAGAGAGAUUUAGAUUUGCUAGCUUAAAAACACUAAUUACAUGAGUGUUCGGUCUACAAUUUUAUUGUGCCUCCAGCUAUUUCAUCGGCUACGACACAUACAUUCAGUCUUUAUAGCCCAACGGGGCCAUAGUUGCCUAUCGCACGUCCUGAUCUGAUGCGGCCGGGGUGCAUCUUUUCAAUCUCAUUAACGUAAAAAGGUAACAAUUUUGAUGGUGUACUUUCUGUUACCUUUGUACCCAUAUAUAAUUGCAAUGCCCAUGUGACUAAAGUUCAGUAGUGCCCCAAUGGCAUUCAUGACCUCUCGACAAGGAGACUAAAUGGCGGUGGGUCGAGUCUCUUCCGUCGCUCGACUGGACAUACAAAGUGUCCCGGAUACACGCAGACAGAAAAAAAAAUAGACUAGAGUUUUUACAAAACUUGGCUAAAACAUGAGCCACAACAUUACAAUGCUGACGAACAUGCUUGAAAGUCGAAGAAGCCAAGACGAGGGCACAACGAAAAAAACUUUAGAACUCAUAAAUAGUCCCACCUCGCUCCUUUUCAACCAAUUCAAUCAAUUUAUAUACGUGAGUGACUUUGCCGCAUCAGAAAUCAACUAGCCUCUGAGGGAAAAAGAAUGAAGGAAUUAAUCCGCAAGAGAGGGAAGAGCGAGUAUGUUCGAAGGAAGAAUCAGAUAAGUGCACAAUCGAGCAGCCAACAUCCACGCGUGUGUGGCCCAAACCAAAUAUGGAAAAUCAGAUAAGGACAAUUGGCAGCCGCCGGCGACGGCCUGGGAAAUCAACCCAGGAGAGGGAACGGAAUGGAAUUAGAAGGAUGAAGAAAAUGGAACGGAAUGAAGCCAGCGUGAUCACACCGCAAAGCCUCGCGAGCUAGGGCCAAGCGAAAUUGAGACGACAAGGUCGAGCGUCAGAGGAGAGGGGCACCGACGGACACCGCUGCCACCCCGGCGCUUCACUCGACGGACCGGGGAUUGGAAAGGAGGGGGGUGCAUACCACCGGCCCCAGCGUCUUCUCCUGGCCCAGGCCGAAGGCGGACACGACAAGGCCGGGCACUCCAGGAGUGCACCGUCGACGCCGAGGAGGUGUGACCGCGCGCGUGCUCAAUCCUGUUUUCUUGGUUAGUUGUGGAAGAGGGAAGAGAAAGAGGAGGGGGUACACGGCACCGUGGGUGGGAACCUUGGGCCGAGCAGAGGAUGAACAGCGCUGCUGGGUGGGAUGUUGGGUGCUGGCCUACUCGGUGAUGAGGAGCAGCAUUGCGUGGAUAAAAGAGGGCCACACACGAGGAUAACUCGACGGGGAUAUUGGUAUGUGUUCUUUGUGGGGAUAAUUAUCUUCUUUUUUCUUUUUUUUUCAUAAUAAUACGCGUCUCAUUUAUAUAGAACAAGUUACAAGGCACAUAAGCGCCGACCAUACAUAAUUGAAAAGAUAGGAAAAUCCUAUGCAGAAUACCAACGCCUGUCCCUUUCCUUCGACACCACCGAAGCGGCCACCAAAGGAUAAAAAGACAUAUCACCUCUUCACCCAAGCUCGAUGCGGCUCCAUCACUAAUCAGCAGCUUUACGGACCUCCAAAGUAGUUUGUUCGAAGCAAAACCAUAGAUGUUGAAAGAAUCAGACCGGGGCAACAUGUCCCCGGACACGCCAUCGAACUUCAGAACUGACACCCCCACAUGACGACGAAGUCAGAGGAGGAAACCAGAACUGUCAGCCGUCAACCACAGACCCAACACAAGAUACUCCAUCUUCCAGCUGUCACUUGCAUAGACAACUGCCUGCGCGUACUCCUAAACGACAAAACCUCCCUACUCUACCAUGAUGUCGGAGGCAACAACGCAACAAUGAAGACAGAGAUGAAGGAGAGACACACCUAAUAGAGUCGCCGCCGCUGCCUUGCCAACACCAUCCAUGAACCCUAACGCUGCCGAUCUGAGGGAUUGACAAAGACACGAUGCCAUCAACUCCGAGAAGCCGCCAUGAAAAACACCGCCGGUGUGGGAGUGAAGUUGAGGCAAAUUUAUUCAUCCAAGCACUGCUCCCACCACCCCAACGACGCCCCACGACCUAUAAAUCCAAAUCCUAACUACAGAGUGGAGGAACGGGUCCCCCUCCCUCCCGCCGCCGGAGCAGCGACCGAAGGGAGAGGGGGCCAGUGCCCCGGCCGGUGGAGAUCAAAGGAAAUAGGUCGCGUCUCCCUAGACGCUUGGUGGUGGUGGCGGCUAGGGUAGGAACGCCUCGACUAGACAGCGAUUGGCCGUGGGGAUAAUUAUAUGCUGUUGUUUGUUUGCUAAAACGUAGAAGAAGCGUAUACGUGAUGGAUGGUGUACAUGGCCUUCACAUGAAAUUUAUCAAAAAAGUUUGCCUUUUUAUGGUGAUGAUGCAGAGUGAGUGUGGUUCGGUCUUUGGGCCAAGUUUCAAGUAGUGCAAAAGAAAAGGAACACAAUAUAAUUUUGCAAACCAAGCAACCAACAUUUUCCUUAAAAAAAUGUCAACAUAGUAAAAGCCAGUUUGCUUUUAAAUAUUAACAAAAAAAUGUAUACAAACAAUCCCACUUCAAUGCACCACUACUCUUUCAUCCAAAAUAAAUUUGUUUGCAUUGAAACCUUUUGAAAAGUCUAGGAAAAACAUUUAGAUUAGUUAUUAAACUCUCGAACAGUAUACAACAAUUUCAACGUCUGUAUAUCCCGCUAAAAACACUUACGUUCUUCUGCCCGAUGAUAGUGCUAAGUUGAAGGAGGGGCCAUCAAAGGACACCCCGAUGAAUUUCUCAUCUUUACACUACAUGGUCUGGACACCAACAAAUUUUUUUAAUUGCGGACACCAAGUGUGUGUGUUUUUUUAGACAAAGAGUGUUCCAAAAUCUUCUUAUUUAGAAAGACAUGCUUUUAAAUAUGUUCAUGUUUUUUUAAAAAUGCAGAAAACUCUCGAAAAUGUUCCAAUUAUUUUAACAAAACCAUUUAAAAUCGACCGCAAAAUUUUCAAAUUUCAUAGUUAAAAAACAUGUGGUCAAAAAAAAUCAUCUUCAAAAGAUGUUUCAGUUCUAAUAAAAAGAUAAAAUUUUCAAUUUUUUAAUUAUUUUAUAGUAAAGAAAUAAUUGUGUUUUUUGAGAAAUAAAAAAUAGAACUGAUUACUAGACUAUCCCAUGCACCAUUAUUCUUUCAUUGAUGAAAGAUGUUAGGAUGGCUUAUUUACGUCCAUGCGUCAUACUCCGGAAAGAGAUAACAUUAUAAACUUAUAUCGAUGUUUAUCAGAACUGGAUCUAAGAAAUGGCGCUACUGUCACACAGAGCAUGUUUUAUGAAUUUUUAGCCCAUUGCAACGCACGGGCAUUUGUACGCUUCUUCCUCCCAAAAAAUUGGUACGUUUUCGUCCGUCAACCCAACCUUCGACCGGAUUCAAAAAAAUCGUCCGCCAGCUCUACCCUCGAUCCACAAAAGAAAUAAGUAUAUGUAUUUGGGCCACAUAGCCCGCCAGGCCUCUUCUGGGCCGUGCGUGCGAAAAAUAACUAUUGGGGAUCAAACUCAUGACCUCCUGUCCCGUGAAACACCACAACAACCAACUAAGCCAAGUUAUUUUGUUUGAAAUUAGUCCCACAUCGUUGCUUUAAAAAGAUUCGUACCAAUUUAUAUACAAGCAAGUCUCCUGCAUUAUCAGCAAGUCGCCUAAAAAGAGGGCCGUGGGACAAGAGGGAAGGAUGAAUUUGAGAGCUGAUUUGUGGGUAUUAAAGGAAAGAAAGAACACUUGUGUAUUAUUAAAUUAAAGGAAGGAAUUGUGGACGGAUUUGCAGGUGGUAUUAAAGGAAAUAAUUGAAGGCUACUUUGUGGGCUAUGAAAUCAGUAGUAUAAAGGAAGGAAGGAUGGAUUUCAGGAUUGUGGGACUGCAUGGAUAAUUAUGAUGAAUGCUUGUCUAUUAAAGGAAGGAAUUUGAGGCAGAUUUGUGGGCAUAGGAAAGAAUUUGAAGGCUAUCUGACAAGUGGGCUGGGUGAAGGAAGGAAGCAUUUCGGGGGAUUUGUGGGCUGGGUGGCUGACAAGUGGGCUAGGUGUGAAAUAAAUGAACCAAAAAAUAGAGUCCAUGCAACUUUUUUUAUUUCGCUGGCAAUCAUGUAAAGUAGAAAGAUUUUUACGAGGUGAUCUUUUAGAAUUCAGUCACCAUCGAGGGUGACUAACUGUUUAUAUUUAUUAAGUUUAAUUAGACAGUAACUACACAUGUGUGUAUAUAGAGUAUAAAUAAUCAUGUUAUGUACCAGUACCGUUUAGACCUUAGUUAUGCGGUACAAGUGCAGGACAUGCACAUUGCAAGAUCAAAG
rnacentral:lncRNA from 1 species